rnacentral:rRNA from 1 species
UACGGUGGGGGCAAGCGUUGUUCGGAAUUACUGGGCGUAAAGGGCGCGUAGGCGGCCUUCUAAGUCGGACGUGAAAUCCCUCGGCUUAACCGAGGAACUGCGUCCGAGACUGAAAGGCUUGAAUCCGGGAGAGGGAUGUGGAAUUCCAGGUGUAGCGGUGAAAUGCGUAGAUAUCUGGAGGAACACCGGUGGCGAAGGCGGCAUCCUGGACCGGUAUUGACACUGAGGCGCGAAAGCCAGGGGAGCAAACGGG